rnacentral:rRNA from 1 species
CUGAUAAUUAAAUUAAAGAGCUGCAGUAUAUUGACUGUACAAAGGUAGCAUAAUCAUUAGUUUUUUAAUUGAAAACUUGUAUGAAUGGUUUGACAAAAUAAAAAUUGUCUCUGUUGUUAAGUUAAAAUUUAACUUUUAAGUGAAAAGGCUUAAAUACUUCAAAGUGACGAUAAGACCCUAUAAAGCUUUAUAUUUGUAUUUUAUUUUAAAAAAUUUAUUUAAUUAUAAAAUUAAAAUUAUUUUAUUUUAUUGGGGAGAUAAAUAAAUAAUUUAUAUAACUUUAUUUUUGUGAAACAUUAAUGUAUGAAAUAUUAUUAGAUCUUUAAUAAAAAUUUAAAGAAAAAGUUACUUUAGGGAUAACAGCGUUAUUUUUUCUGAGAGUUCAUAUUUAAGAAAAAGAUUGCGACCUCGAUGUUGAAUUAAAAUAUCUGCUUGGUGCAGCAGCUAAGCAAGAAGGUCUGUUCGACCUUUAAUUUUUUACGUGAUUUGAGUUCAGACCGGCGUGAGCCAGGUCGGUUUCUAUCUUUUGUUUAAAGUAAAAUCAAUUUA